GGACUCGUGGUGUUUGUAUCAAAGAGAUGUUACAAAUAAUACAGCAUUGCAUAUACCUAUAAAGAAUCCGUUUACUUCAGCCAUUGUCGAGGUAAUUAAACCCGUAUUUGAUCGCUUGGGUGAUGCAAACUUUCUCGCUGGUUGUGAAAAGUGUGCGACUCAAAAUCCAAAUGAGUCUUUACAUCAUGUCAUUUGGGGGCUUGCUCCCAAAGAUCAGUACACGUCUCCCCGUGAAACCAGUUUAGCAGUCAGUCUUGGUUGCUUGCUAUUCAACAGCGGCAUGGAAGUUACCUAUUCACAGUUGUUGCCGAAGAUAGGGUUAAAUGUUGAUGACAAUAUGGUGAAGGAAUGGAAGUGGAUAAGAAAAGAUUAGACACAGCAGAAUACAAAGAGAAAUCCACUGUUAAGAAUCGAAGAAAAAAGUACAAACGGCAGAGGGCAAACAAAGCUGACGCAUCUGUACACAAUGGGGGGGAUACAGUACAAGUCACAGGAAUUCUAUGAUGGUACAGCAACAGCAACGGAAAAUGGAAAGAAAAAAAGAAAAAAGUCUGAAAAGUAAAGCUAUAGAGUAAAGAACGAUGUGUAUAGACUAUUGGAAACAGAUAAUGUAUUUUACAACGCAAUGACUUAUACCGCUUGUGAGAAUGUAGAACAACAAUAACUCCUAAAACAGAGAAAGUUUUCCUAUAAUAUAUACGUG